GGGAUCGACAUCUCAGGGCCUCGAGUAAAUAAGCUAACUUUACCUUUCAAAGCGCGCGCAUGAAUAACGUGUUACGUGAGUCAGAAAAGCACAUGGAUGCAUUCGUGAGGGGAAAACUCGUCGAGUGGCAGUUACCCAGUCUUAUCGAGACAUUUAACGAUGAAGAAAUUGAUGAGGAAGGUUUCAUGCUACUCGAUGACCGUACAAUCACAAGCCUCAUACCAAAAAUCGGACUUCGUGUCAAGUUCCUAAAGUACCACGAAGAGCUAAUAAAGAAACAUGGGGUUGAAAAUGCCACUCCUUCAGCUGUUCACAUAACUGACACAGAAGAAGCCACUGUUGCAGCAGGAGAUAUUGCAGAAGAGCUGACAAUUACACCAAUGCCAUUCAUUCAAAUAAUACCAAUUUUUGUAAUUUCUUCAUUCACUAUUCAUGCCAGAUUUUCUGCUUUUAAAAUUAAACAGGGUCUUUGAAAUAGAAAAGUCAAACUCAAAAAUCUAGUUUUUAUAUGCUUCUCUUCUUAUUUUUUGCAGAAUAUUAAAGAGAUUCUCAUGGCCUCCCAUGAGGGGAGAUGGAUUUCAGCAGCUUUAGAGAAGGAAAAAAGCAUCACAAUUAAACAGAGACGUGCACUGGUGCGAAUCCUGGUGGCCUUUUUAAUUGAAAAGUUUGGCGAAAUGCCAACUUCUGACACCAAGAAGGCUAUGGCAAUGGCGUUAAUUGAAGAGUUUCCCUGCCUUAAAGACAUCAGAGGCAAUGGCUAUGAGGCAUUUUACACACCAGGCCGGAACCACCGUCCAGCCACAGGCUUCAUUGAGGAGCGCUUACGAAACAUCAGAAAGAGAAUGAGAAAACUUUCCAGACCUCAAAGACAUGAAGAGGACACAUCACAUAGGAUGGUAAUCCCUGAACCUACUAUUCCAACGGAGAGAGCCCAAAGUCUUGUGAACUGGCUGAAAAAUAACCAUGCACCUAUUAACCAAGUGGUAGAAAAUAUGAAGGAGACAGCCUUAUAUCGGGCUAAGUGGAUCCGACAGAAUGGGACAAAGAGCAUCACAGAGGUUCUCCAUGAGUUCCCGCAUCUCUUGAACACACCUGGCAUGAUUUCCCAAGACUUUGAUCAGGUCCAUGGAGAAACUGGACUGAAGCUUUUUGAAUCGUGGGCCAAUUUCUUUGCUG
ensembl:lncRNA